AGAAAGAUGAGGAGACUUUUUUGACUUACAUUUGUAAAUGAAAACAAGUCUGUGAAUAUUCAGAUGACUACUUCGAAGUAAUUCAGUUUUUUUAUUAGUAUUUUUCCAGCUUAUGUUUUCCCAUGAGCUAUUUUACUUUGCUGAAUUUUGUGGGUAAUUUGGUGGAUAUAUCCUGCCUUAUUUAGGAUUAUAGCUGGAUAAGAAAAUUGCCUUUUCAUUGUAAGUGCCCAGUUUUGGUCUCUAGUUUGAAGGUACUACAUACUGCCGAUAAAGGAAAACACUCCCCUACACCCCAGUUUUUGUGUUACCAAGAAAAAAAAAACAGUAUUGGUUUCAUAGUAGGACUCAACCAGAAUUGGUCCUACAUAUAUGUGAGUGUUCAGUUUUUGCAAAUAAGGUUUUUGAGUGUGAUAAAACACUACAGAAGUGCUAAGUGUAUUGAGAAUUUGCUGCUGAUUGUAUUUAUAACAAUUACUUGACGUUUGCAGAAAUUUAGCACUUUCCCUCCAAAUUUAUAGGUGUAAGAGAAGCGGGGGCAAGGUGCACCACAUUUUAAAACUGCAAAUGUGUGAAAAUUUAUUUAGAGAUUCAGAUUCCUAAAAGGAAAUUUCACCACCCAAGUCAUGCACUUCUUAGCCUUUUACAAGCCAACAGACUGACAUGAAGAUUGUUCACAGUUCCUAAGAUUUAGCACAUAUACAAAAAUAAAACUUUAUAAAUUCAA
rnacentral:lncRNA from 1 species